rnacentral:misc_RNA from 1 species
AAGUCGUAACAAGGUAACCGUAGGUGAACCUGCGGUUGGAUCAUUAAUAAAUUUAAUACGAAAAAUUGUCCCUUUUAGCACUUGUGUUAUUUGGGCUUUUUUUUAACACCAUGUGAACUGUUUAUUGUAUUUGGUGUGGUUAAAACAAAAGUUUUUUACUUUUGGCAGUAAAAUGCACCCACCAAUGUUAAACUAUUUUAUCUGUCUUAUUUUUGUAUUAUUUUUUAAUAAUAUUUUUAAAAAAAAAACAACUUUUGGCAACGGAUCUCUAGGCUCUU